rnacentral:rRNA from 1 species
UACGUAGGGUGCGAGCGUUAAUCGGAAUUACUGGGCGUAAAGCGUGCGCAGGCGGUGAUGUAAGACAGGUGUGAAAUCCCGGGCUUAACCUGGGAACCGCAUUUGUGACUGCAUAGCUGGAGUACGGCAGAGGGGGAUGGAAUUCCGCGUGUAGCAGUGAAAUGCGUAGAUAUGCGGAGGAACACCGAUGGCGAAGGCAGUCCCCUGGGCCUGUACUGACGCUCAUGCACGAAAGCCGUGGGGAGCAAACAGG